rnacentral:lncRNA from 1 species
AGAUCUUAUACAUAUUGUAAAGUUACGCAGAAGUCAAGAGAGUUAUUCUUGAGACGGAAAUUACUUUGAGAAAGUAAUAGUACAAUACAAAGCCAAGAUAGAAAAUACUAGUAUAAGAAAAUUAUUUCUUGUUUUUCUACCUUUGAGUUGAGAUGACAAACAUUUCAACACAAUAUUUUUAUUCAAUUUGUUCGCAGGGUUUCAUUGACCAAAGAGUUGAUAGAAAGGAUCAGUCUCGGUGUGGAUACGCAUAGAGUCUUCGCACUAUCGAAGAAAUUCUAAAACGAGACUCUCUUCACCAGGUACGUGUUAGAUCCGAUCUUUGACAUAUAAAUAAAUUAUAAAUAUGAAAAGUUCUUCCGAGGAUUAUUAUUGUCUUCCGCUGCGUGUUAUGAAUACUUCCCUCAAUUCAACAGUGGUAUCAAAUCCAUGGUUUCUCGUGUCUAAAAUUUAUUUACGAAAUAUUUUAAGAUUUUAUUUGAAGAGAUUAAAUCAUUAUCCUUGUGUCUUGUGUAAUAGUCAAAUUGUUUGAAUGCAUAUGGAUGAUAUUAUUUUAUUAUGAAUAAAAUAUGUAUUCAGAUAAGUUAAACUACUGAGAUAGUUCGUAACUUGAAUUUGAAAUUUCGUAUAAGAUACGACGGCAAUCUAUAAUAGGUUAUUAGAUUAUACAGUUAUUUUAAUUGUUAUUAGUUUAUGAGAUAUUAAUUAAUAAUAAUGUUCUGGCAUGAAUUAUUUUAUGUGAUAUAUAAGAUAAACAUGUUAGAAGUAUGUUGAAUUUUGUUUUUAUGUCACAUGCUUGUUAGUUAUAUAAUUUUGAAUUAUUAUUACAUGUGAUUUAAAUUAAUUUAGGACAAAGCAUGUAGACAACUUGAACAAAACUCACCACCAUUUAUCUUUCUCAGAACCACUCACCGGAGGUUUGACCUCCUCCACAAUAUGAUGCACAAUAUCCUCUGGUAAAUAGUCCUUUAAUUUGUUCAAGUUCCACUCGUUUUCCUCGGCAAAUUCAUGAACAUAUUGUACAUCUUCGCUGCCCCAAAAAUCUGAUGGUGUGACAUCAUAUAGAGGCCCCAAACUUGUCCAAUUAUCAUGCCAAAAAUUAGAAGAUCCUUCCUUUACUUGCCACCAAAUUUGGUGGUCUAUAAGCUCUCUACAUUGUAACAUUUUACGCCACACAUGCGACCCAUAUUUCUAUUGCACCAUCGUCGGGCCAUGUUUCUCGCAGUAUUUAACCAUCAUAAAUUCUUUCCAGAGUGAGUUUUUUGUGUCCUUUACUCUAAAGUUCCACAAUUAUCAUGCCAAAAAUUAGAAGAUCCUUCCUUUACUUGCCACCAAAUUUGGUGGUCUAUAAGCUCUCUACAUUGUAACAUUUUACGCCACACAUGCGACCCAUAUUUCUAUUGCACCAUCGUCGGGCCAUGUUUCUCGCAGUAUUUAACCAUCAUAAAUUCUUUCCAGAGUGAGUUUUUUGUGUCCUUUACUCUAAAGUUCCACCACAAUUUACAAAAUAAGGCCUUGGACACAUCAAACAUAGACCGAUAUCCCACACCUCCUUCCUUUUUGUGUAAACAUAAGUUUAUCUAGGCUGCCAAAUAUCUACUUUUUCUGUCUAUGAAAUUGUAGAGAAAUAACACGGAAAAAUAACAGUAAUACUACAAUAAUAUUAUUUAUAAGCAGAUAUACGAAUUGACUUAAGUCGUACUGGACACUGUCCUAAGAAACUAUUUCAGCAGUGUGAAAUAUUUUCUCAGGAUUAAACAAGCUUACCUCUGCUUAAGAGGAUACAAGAAUCAGCAAAAUAUUAAAUUAUAAACCCAGCUAUUUAAAAGAUGGGAACAAAAAAAAUAGACUACUAAAUUUUGAGAAGGAAAGACAACAAAGGAAAGCUAGUGUAGAACGAAAAAGCAAAAGAAAGUUGUUGUUGGUUGAUGCCUAUUUAUAGGCUUUAAGAGAGGUUUGAAACAUGAACACGUGUCUUGAAUUUUCUAUACAAUUGCCAUACUCAUUUCUCCAUUGCCACUUUGUAUACGGUUGAAACUGAUUUCGGCCUUCGUACGACUGAUCGAGAUGGGAUCAUAAUGGACUGAAGAAAGUCUUCAUAAUAUCGAGAUGGGAUACGAAGAUGGCACAAACGAGCUUCAAAUUUCAGGUACAAGUCAAUUACCGAGUUUGAAGUCAUUAUCGAGCUCGGGUCCGAAUCGAACUAAGAUGAGAUAUGAUGGAAUCAAGCUUAAGGGCCAGAGGCCAACCGAUACCAAGCCCAAAUCAUUACCGGACCCCGAGUCGGCAUCGACCUCAAACCCGCAUUGAGCUCUAAAACUGGAAACCGACCAAUACCGACUAAUGCUGAGUCUGAUCAAGAUCGAGCUCAUAGACAAGAGCCGUUGCAGCCGCACUAAGGGAGAGAAUCUCGGCGGGAAUUAGGAAAAAGUUGAUUUAUCGUGGGUUCUCCACUAUGUAUUUUUAAUUAUAUCUAAAGUAGGAUCCCCCACUAUAAAAGGGAUGACUAUAUUUCUGUAAAAGGAUCAAAUUUUGCAUACAUUGUAACUCAGAUAUCAUACACUCCCAUACUAAAGAAUUGUCCUUUUUUAGCUUCAUAGAUUGA